UACAGUAACUAUAAUUUAUUGGUAACUUUGAUAUCCUAUUAUAAAAAAAGAAAUUGUGACUGCUUCAUCUAUGUAAGAACGUAAAACGGACCCAAAAUGUUGAUGAUUAAACAUCCGCCUUUGUUUGUAUUUUAUUUACAAUUAAAUAACUGUAAAUAGUAAAUUUAUGUGUUAAACUUUUUUUUUUAUAUAUAUAUAUAUAUAUAUAAAAUUAUGGUUGGAGAUCUACUGACAUUAUAUUUCAGUGUACUAUAAUUUUAUGAUUUUUAUAUGAAAUUCCUUUAUUAAUUUAUAUUAAUCAUAAUUUUCAACGACCAGCACCAAUUAAUAAUAUUUAAUUAUUAUUAUUAUGAUUUAAACUUGUAUAAUUUUUUUUUUUUAUUUAUAUAUAAUGUAGUUGCAUAAUCCGUUUAUUAAGGGUAUAAAGUUUUGGCACCUAGGCUAGUGGCCAAUAAAUGAAAUACUGUAAAUUCUUUAUUAUUAUAUUAUUAUGUGUGCGCAGUUUUUAAUAUUACACUCUCAAUCAUUAUAUUAUAAUAUUGUUUUUCCAACGCUCUUAAUGUUAUUAUAAUAGUUAUUUACUGCAUAUUACUUAUGUAAUCUUAAUGUUUCUUUUUUGUGAAAAUAUAAAAUACCAAUAUUAUAAUAAUCAGUACAUGUCGUUGUUUGCUACAUCAUAUUCAAUAAACUAACUUUUUAAAAGGGUUAUCUAAUAAGUCACCAAAUAACUGUCUAUAUAUACUUUUGCAUUUCUGUUCUGAUAAAAUGAAUUACCCUAUUAAUAUAAUAUUUUAU